GGCGGACAGUGCAGUAUGUCGAGUCGAGAUUACAUCAGCGCUAUGAGCAGCAGGUUUAAUGCUAUAGUUGAACGAAUUCAGACCAGACAGGAGCAGCCGAGGUCUUCCGAGAGUCUUGUAGAAAGGUUGAGGAUGUUCAGGCAAAAUGCUGCCUCCAAAAGAGAGCCAUGGAGGAGGGGGCAAACAAGACUUGCCACUUUCAGAGUUGGUCUCCUCCUCCAUCCUGAUAUGGAAACAUCCCAUCCACAAAAAGCAGAAGCUUUGAGAAAAUAAAGGUGCCAGUGUCCUUGUCAGGAGUUCCAUGGUGUCCUCAGAAAUGCGUUUCCGAGAAUGGGCAGCACUGAUUUUGAGUUGGCAAGGGUAGAUUGUCAUAAAAAAAUUUCAAGACUUCAAGUUUCUCCACUGUCACCAUCUGUGCUGAAAGCCAGCAGAGAGCUUAAUCGAUCAGCUUUAUAUAUACUCCCAAAGGAGAGUCUGGCAGAGGAGGUUGGAGAACAGCAAGAUGGGAGUAAUGAUGUACAGGUGGUCCAAACUUCACAUAACUCCCAAGAGAGGCCUCAUACAAUGGAGAGGGAUGAUUUACAUGAGUGGCGUGCCCUUUGCGCAAGACAAGAUGAGGAAUACCUUAAGAGUCCGCAGACUGACCAAGAAAGGGACCAGGCACAGCACAGAGAAGCAGACGUUUCCAGAAAACUCAAAGAGGCAUAGUGUAACUCAUUUGUUUUUUAAUUGAAUUAAGCAUAGACAGGUUUAUUUUAUUUUUUUGUUCUCUUUUGACCGGCUUUGGAGAGAAGACGGCUUAAUUUAAGCAAUCACGCCAAGCCGCAGGAUGGCAUUCCACUGCAGGUGAAAUAUCCUGAUGGUCAUGCUGUAAGGAGGAGAUUUCACCUCAUGCAGCCAAUUCAGCAUCUAUUUGACUUUGUUGGCUCAGAUGACAUGGCAACAGAGGUGUUCUCUAUUCAGAGAGCCAGGGCAUCACCAAUAAGAAGUACAACAAUGGGCAGAAUAAUUGAUCAUAUCAAUGAAUCCUGCACUGUUUUUGUAAUCUGGGAUGACGUAAUGGACACAGACAUUGCUGACACUCUGGUUCUGGAAGAAGAGAACACUCCUCAAAACAUCUCAUCCAUGCCCUUGGAUACAACUGCUGGCAUCCAGGAUUUGAGUCAUGUGAAUCAUUACACAGAGGUCUCUACAGAACAUAUGAAGUGAUGAUCACACUGGUGCAUGGAGGAGUGUCGCCUUCUUUUUUUCCGAGAGGCUCUACCAAAACCUUUGCUCUACAUCUACAUCACCACCCACUCUCAAAGAAGUAGCAGAUCAGGAUUUGCAGUUGAAACUCAAAAAGAUCAGUGAGGCAGUUGAUAUUACAACAGCUAGGGCUGCUAUUGAGGAAGCUGCAGAGAGCCUAUCGUUGUUGGGGUCCCUGAGGCAUAUCACCACCAUGGAGGGACGGGACCAGUUGGUUCAGGCUGCCACAAGUUUCUACGUGGAAGGGAGGACAAAGGAAGCCUUGCAACAUGCUACAGCAGUUGGACCAGAUUUUACAUGUUUUUUGGGGGGGUGAUGCUUGGGUGAGCUGGAAAACUUGCUGAAGGACUGAACACACUUGGUCUCCUGGACCUGAUGAAAAUUCACCCCAGCAUCUUCAAGGAGGUGUUUUCUUCAUCAGAGAGGCCUUUAAAGGCUACAGAUUUGAUCUCCCUGUUCAAAGCAACACUGUCCCAUCCUGAAAGCAACCAGUGGCGAAAAGAGAAGAGAGUGGAAGGGUACUGGAGAGACUUCCUACUAGAUAUUGAAGAUGGUGUGUUUGAGAUCACAAUGGAACAAAUCCUGGUGCCAGCUGAGUGCCAGCUCUUGGUUUUUCCCCUCACCCAACGCUGAUGUUCAUUCACGAGACAGGGCGGAAGUACCCUGAAGCCAACACCUGCCUUGUCAAUUUGAAACUGCCGAUCCAUGGCACUUAUGUACAAUUCACCAAGUUCAUGUGUGAGGGCAUUA